ensembl:lncRNA
AAGUUGUGUUGUUCAUGUUUAUCAGAAGUUGUGUUGUUCAUGUUUAUAUCAGAAGUUGUGUUGUUCAUGUUUAUAUCAGAACAGUUGUGUUGUUCAUUUUUAAAUCAGAAGUUGUGUUGUUCAUGUUUAUAUCAGAAGUUGUGUUGUUCAUGUUUAUAUCAGAGCAGUUGUGUUGUUCAUGUUUAUAUCAAAAGUUGUGUUGUUCAUGUUUAUCAGAAGUUGUGUUGUUCAUGUUUAUAUCAGAAGUUGUGUUGUUCAUGUUUAUAUCAGAAGUUUUGUGUUGUUCAUGUUUAUAUCAGAAGUUGUGUUGUUCAUGUUUAUAUCAGAA